AAUGAAAAAAUCAGCAUAUAUAAGAACGAAUUGAGAUCUAUUCAGUUCAUUUAAGUUGAACAAGUUAUUUCUAAAACAGUUUACUUUUGAUUUAUUAACAUUGACUAACUACUUUGGAAGCUAAUACAAUGAAAACUGCGAUCGGACUCCUCUUUUUAUUUGCCGUGAUCAAUGUAUCAUACUCCACAUCACUACGAGAGUUUACCUUCAUGAAAAGUCUAUACGCUCGUGAAGAUAUGCCCAGGCUAGUACUAACUUCUAUGAUAACUCGACGAAUUGAUCAAGUCAAGACUUUAUACGAAA